GCGCGCGCGCAGCGAUGGCGGAGGCGGUGGAGCGCACAGACGAGCUGGUCCGGGAGUACCUGCUCUUCCGUGGCUUCACGCACACACUGCGGCAGCUGGAUGCGGAGAUCAAGGCGGACAAAGAGAAGGGGUUCCGGGUGAGGGGUCGGCAGGGGCGGCGGAGGCGGCUCGGGGGGCGGGCCUCCUGCUCCAACCCUGCCCUCCGGGGCGAGGGCGGCGCUGUCACUGCAUGGUAGGGGACUGAAGGCGUCUCCGGUCUGGCCCUCGCUUGACAUAGGAGGAACUGAGGGCCGGAGAUGGUCGUGACAUGCCCGAAGUUGCUCAGUGAGUGAGUCAGGAGCAUCGGGACUCAGGUCCCUGGUUCCCGGUACAGGGCUUCACUCCAUGCCAGCCUCUCAGCAGGUGCUAGCCAAUGGCUGGCCGGCGUGGUUACAACACUUUAAGAGCCAUGGUUGAGCGCAAGUCUGAAUUUUGAUGGAAGAAGCGGGAGCAAAGGGGGCUGCGCCCAGAAGACUGGGUUCAGGUCUGGGAGGUAGAUUGUAAGAAUGGCAUCAGGGAAUCAUUGGAAGAUUCCCUUCUGCUUUGAAGCACAAAGUUCUCUGAUACUAGUUUCCACUGAGAGGCGCUUGGGAUUUCUUUGCUUAUGAUUUGUAUGUUUGCACGUACAGAGUUAAAUUGGUCUUGGGCAGAUGGAUUGAGGGAGGUGGUGAGCUAGUUGUUGGCGCAUCAGAAGGAAGUUAGGAUAUUGGUUUCUACCUUUCGAGUUUAUUGGUUGCUUGGUGGCAAAGCAAAGCAUUUCCCUACUCCAGACAGCAGUGGUAUUCAAAACACUGUCAUGGUGUGAUUGUCUUUGACUGAAGGCAGCAGCCACUGAGGCUCAGGUGGGACUCUGAUGACCCGCAGGGAGCCAGUAAUCACUGUGUCUCUUGGAAUUCAGAAACUGUGGAGCUGGGACGAGGACCCUGGCAAUUGUCUCUGGCUCAUUGGCUCUUACUUAUUUUUACAGUGUGAGGCAAUCAAGACUGCUGUUGAAGUGACAUUGCCAAGUUGGUCAAGGAGACUCAACACCUGGAGCCAAAGCUCUUGCUUUCUGGAAUUUCCGAGCUUGCCAGAGCACCAAGUCCUGUAUCUAGCAUGAGAAAAUAACUUGAAAGCUAGUAUGCUAACAUAUCUUGGGGAUUUUAUAGAUUGCCAACUGGACUAUAUGUUUUUACAUCUGGGAGCCAUAGGAAGAAGAUGAAACUAUACGAUGUAUAGUGAGGUGAGAAUUUCCUUCUGUCUGUCUCCCCUCAGGUGGACAAGAUUGUGGACCAGCUGCAACAGUUGAUGCAGGUUUACGACUUGGCUGCCCUUCGGGAUUAUUGGAGCUACCUGGAACGCAGGCUCUUCAGCCGCUUGGAGGAUAUCUAUCGACCUACCAUCAACAAACUGAAAACCAGCCUGUUCCGCUUUUAUCUUGUCUACACAAUCCAGGUACUUCUUGCUUUUGACUGUUUCCCCAUCCCCAGUGUCUUAUGAUCUGUAGAGAUCAUCUGAUUGGUUUUCCCCAGUUCUAUGUCCUUUUGGUUUUAAGCAUGUAAACUUGUGUGGCAUUUUAAGGACUAUAAACGUUAUAUAUAUUUUAUAUAUAAACUAUAUACAAAGCUGGAGCUGGCAGUGGUGGUGCACUUCUCCCUUCUUUCCCAGCACUCAGGAGGCAGGGGUAGGUGAAUCUCUGAGUUUGAGGCCAGUCUCUGCUGCAGAGUGAAUUCUAGGAUAGCCAGGGCUGCACAGAGAAACCCUGUCUCUAAAAGCAAAACAAAAUGUAGCUGAUUUGGGGCACUAAUUUAGAUUAUUUGAGCAUCACCUAGGGAUUGUUUUCAGUAUGGCACUUGUCAAGAGAACCUCAGUUGACUUUUGAUUUUGAAAUUGGUUGAGUCUCAUGUGUCCUGGGCUGGCCUCUAACUUGAUAUGUGUUGAGGAUGACCUUGAACUUCUGAUCUUCCUGCUUCAGUAUUUCAAGUGCUAGGUAGACAGGUGUGCCGCGUGCCUGGUUUUAGCUGGUGCUGGGGAUUGAACCUAGGACUCUGUGCAUUCCAGAUGAAUGAUCUACAACUGAGCUAUCCCCCAGCCCCAGAACUGCAGUAUAAAUCAGCUUUGAAAUGAGAAAAGGCCGGGCAGGGGUGGCACAUGCCUUUAAUCCCAGCACUUGGGAGGCAGAGACAGGCAGAUUUCUGAGUUCGAGGCCAGCCUGGUCUACAGAGUGAGUUCCAGGACAGUCAGGGCCACACAGAGAAAUCCUGUCUUG
rnacentral:lncRNA from 1 species